rnacentral:rRNA from 1 species
UACGUAGGUGGCAAGCGUUGUCCGGAAUUACUGGGCGUAAAGGGCUCGUAGGCGGCCAACUAAGUCAGACGUGAAAUCCCUCAGCUUAACUGGGGAACUGCGUCUGAUAGUGGAUGGCUUGAGUUUGGGAGAGGGAUGCGGAAUUCCAGGUGUAGCGGUGAAGUGCGUAGAUAUCUGGAGGAACACCGGUGGCGAAGGCGGCAUCCUGGACCAACACUGACGCUGAGUGAGCGAAAGCCAGGGGAGCAAACGGG